UGUUGGCCGUAUUUUCACAUGCUUAUUGGCAGUAAUUGGUGCAUGUUCUACUCUGAAGUGCAGUUUCAAUCCAUAUUCAUUUUUGGUUGGGGUGUUUGCUUCAGGGUAACUGAACUUAAGGUUCUUUAUAUCUUCUUCAUAGAAAGACUUUGUCAGAUAUGUGCAUAGCAAACUUUUCCUAUUACUCUGUGGGCUAUCAUUUUGCUUUCUUACUGGUAGAGUCUUUAGAGAAGCAGGUAUUAAAGACUUUGACCAAUAAAUAGGCUUUGUUGAUUUUUCCAUCCACUGUUCAUGUGUUUUCUUUCCUAAGGACUUCUGCUUUUUACAAGGGCAUAGGGUAGUCUAAGAGACCCCUAAAUACUAUGGGGUAUUGCUCUUGACCUUGUUUGCCUUCCAGAAAAAGAAGGUAAAUCCCUGUUGCUGAAGAUACCACACUUUGGAUGUAAAACUUGGAAGACUCUACCUGCAUUUCAACAGAAAGCCUCCUCCCUGAUGACUACGUAUCUUAGUACUGGAAGGAGCCAUUCAAGCUGCCAAGAUCCUCACAAAUGACCCAGCCCUCCUCCCCAGCCUGUCCUUUUGUGUCAGCUGCCACUACUUGGAAUUACUCUACCUGGGAACCUGCUGCUCACAUCAGCCUGGCAAUCAGAAGGAUCCGAGUGUCCUGCGUGUAUUUCUUGCCGGCCGAGAAAAUACAGAGCGUGCGCGGGACAUAUGGUGCCGAAACCCGGGAAAUUUGUGAACAUCUCCGGCACCGCGGAGACCCCUUGGCUACAGGGCGGAUUCAGAACUGCAGGGUGGUAAAUUCGGAGAGGAUGAAGAGAAUCCCCUGUGGAUCCCAGAAAGACUCAACCUGAAGAGCCUCUUCGGACCUUCAAAAGUCGAAACUCCACCCUCUCCCCGGGAGUUGAGAGCCGCUAUUGUUAUGCAGAUUAACUCCUGUCCUUGGCGGAGAGAAUGCCACUGCUUAAGGGGUGGGGGUGGGAUUGUUUGAUGCAGCCGUUUGCGGAUUGCUGUUAUUUUU
rnacentral:lncRNA from 1 species